GGGAGUUGUAAGUAUAAGAAAUGAGAAAUAGGGGCUACAAGGAAUUAGUGAAAAUUUUGGGGUUUUCUCUCUCACCUCCUAUUUUUCUUGUAUUUCGUUCCCGCUGGGCGGGUGCUUUUCCUGCCUUGUUGGGUUCUGCAACACUCUCUCUCUCUCACUCAUUUCUCCUUCUCUUCCUCUACUUCUUCCUUGUUUUUUUCUCAUGCUUUCAUUCAUUUCUCUUACCAGAAAGCAUCACAAGGCUUUGUUUCUGGUCAAAGCCGAACAAGUUUUUCUCAAGUUUUCAGGCCUUGACUGUAUCUAUCCGCGGAAUUUAGGGCUCUUUGGGGCUUUCUGUGCUUCUUUGAAUUGGACUGCCAAUUUGGCAUAGAUUUGCUGUGGC